GGAAUCUUCGGCAAUGGGGGCAACCCUGACCGAGCAACGCCGCGUGAGUGAAGAAGGUUUUCGGAUCGUAAAACUCUGUUGUAAGAGAAGAACGUGUGUGAGAGUGGAAAGUUCACACAGUGACGGUAACUUACCAGAAAGGGACGGCUAACUACGUGCCAG
rnacentral:rRNA from 1 species